AAUAUUAAUAAUUUAUGGUUUGAUGAAUCAUGCAUUGAGAAAAAUUGUUCAGUUCCUUUUUGUUUAUAUGGAAGGAAAAUUGUGAUGAGGAUUUCAAGACAAAUGCAAACCCGGAUAGGCCAUUCUUUGAAUGUCCUAUUUGGAAGGUAAUGUUCAAAUGUGCAUUUUUUGUUAAUUUCUUUCUUUUGUUCCGUUUGAGGGAUUUUACUAAAAAAAAGUUAAAUUACUUUGUUUUGAUUCUUCUAUUGUUAUGAUUUCUAUCGCCAGUUAUAAUUUCUUCUUUCAUUGAUGAUUUGGGCUAUUGUGUUUCAGAAAGAGGGUUAUUGUUUCUAUUUCUAUGGUGUGAUGAUCCUGACAUUUUUGUUCCUAAAGGUGUCGGUGUUGUUGGAUAUAUAAAUGAAGUAUUGAAAAAUGAAGGCGAGCUUAUAGCCAAGAUUCAUCGAUUGAUAAUAGCAUACAAACAACAAUCAAAGGUUAUGGAAGAACAUAAUAAGCUUAUGGACAAGGUUGAAAUUGUAAUGGCAGAACAAACUCGAUUGAAAGAAGUUUUGGUGAAUAUUAUGGACAAGAAUUACCCAACAAUGUUAGAACAAAAGCAACAAAAAUAUUGUCUUGUUGACACGUGGGUUUUGAUGAUGUUGUUCAUUGCAUUAUGAAUUGGUAGGUUCACUGCAUAGGUUGUGAAUGUAAUGAUUCUUAAUGUAGUUGUUUUAAGUUAGUUGUUGUUGAUUUUAAAUCUAAUUGUUAUGACCAUGA
rnacentral:lncRNA from 1 species